rnacentral:sRNA from 17 species
AAUCUUUAGCGUUACAGACUUUAUUGUCUAGUCUGGUGUUUAGCCGGACUCAAAUUUAUUGUGUGGA